GACUCCUGGCUCAGGACGAACGCUGGCGGCGUGCCUAAUACAUGCAAGUCGAACGAGAGCGACCGGUGCUUGCACUGGUCAAUCUAGUGGCGAACGGGUGAGUAACACGUGGGUAACCUGCCCAUCAGAGGGGGAUAACAUUCGGAAACGGAUGCUAAAACCGCAUAGGUUCUUGAGUCGCAUGACCCGAGAAGGAAAAGAGGCUUCGGCUUCUGCUGAUGGAUGGACCCGCGGUGCA
rnacentral:rRNA from 1 species